GAUGAACGCUGGCGGCGUGCCUAAUACAUGCAAGUCGAGCGAAUGGAUUAAGAGCUUGCUCUUAUGAAGUUAGCGGCGGACGGGUGAGUAACACGUGGGUAACCUGCCCAUAAGACUGGGAUAACUCCGGGAAACCGGGGCUAAUACCGGAUAAUAUUUUGAACUGCAUGGUUCAAAAUUGAAAGGCGGCUUCGGCUGUCAAUUAUGGAUGGACCCGCGUCGCAUUAGCGAGUUGGUGAGGUAACGGCUCACCAAGGCCACGAUGCGUAGCCGACCUGGGAGGGUGAUCGGCCACACUGGGGCUGAGACACGGCCCAGACACCUACGGGAGGCAGCAGUAGGGAAUCUUCCGCAAUGGACGAAAGUCUGACGGAGCAACGCCGCAUGAGUGAUGAAGGCUUUCGGGUCGUAAAACUCUGUUGUUAGGGAAGAACAAGUGCUAGUUGAAUAAGCUGGCACCUUGACGGUACCUAACCAGAAAGCCACGGCUAACUACGUGCCAGCAGCCGCGGUAA
rnacentral:rRNA from 1 species